GGGCAAUUAGCUCAGUUGGUAGAGCAUCUGACUUUUAAUCAGGUGGUCGCAGGUUCGAGCCCUGCAUUGCCCACCA
rnacentral:tRNA from 1 species